rnacentral:tRNA from 1 species
GCACCCCUAGCUCAAUUGGAUAGAGCAUCGGUCUACGGAACCGAAGGUUACAGGUUCGAGCCCUGUGGGGUGUACCU